rfam:Triticum aestivum genome assembly, contig: Triticum_aestivum_CS42_TGACv1_scaffold_578122_7BL
UUGUUACUCCCUCCGUCCCAAAAUUCUUGUUUUAGAUUUGUCUUGGUAUAGAUGUUUCUAAUACUAAAACGUGACUUGAUACAUCCGUAUUUAGACAAAUCUAAGACAAGAAUUUUGGGACGGAGGGAGUACUUG